GCUAGUUGGCGGGGUAAUGGCCCACCAAGGCGACGAUGGGUAGCCGGCCUGAGAGGGUGACCGGCCACAUUGGGACUGAGAUACGGCCCAGACUCCUACGGGAGGCAGCAGUUAAGAAUCUUGCGCAAUGGGGGAAACCCUGACGCAGCGACGCCGCGUGGACGAUGAAGGCCUUCGGGUUGUAAAGUCCGAUAAGCGGGGAAGAAUAAGCAACGGGUAAUAUUCGUUGUGAUGACGGUACCUGCCUAAAGCCCCGGCUAACUACGUGCCAGCAGCCGCGGUAAUACGUAUGGGGCUAGCGUUGUUCGGAAUUAUUGGGCGUAAAGGGCGUCUAGGCGGGGGAUUAAGUUGGGUGUGAAAUCCCUGGGCUCAACCCAGGAACUGCAUCCAAAACUGGUUCUCUUGAGUUCGGGAGAGGAGAGCGGAAUUCCCGGUGUAGCGGUGAAAUGCGUAGAUAUCGGGAAGAACACCAGUGGCGAAGGCGGCUCUCUGGCCUAGAACUGACGCUGAAGCGCGAAAGCGUGGGGAGCGAACGGGAUUAGAUACCCCGGUAGUCCACGCUGUAAACGUUGUGUACUAGGUGUUAGUGACUUGUUCACUAGUGCC
rnacentral:rRNA from 1 species